GCAUUAUACGGCGAAACUGCGAAUGGCUCAUUAUAUAAGUUAUCGUUUAUUUGAUAGCACCUUACUACUUGGAUAACCGUGGUAAUUCUAGAGCUAAUACAUGCUAAAAAUCCCGACUUCGGAAGGGAUGUAUUUAUUAGAUUAAAAACCAAUGCCCUCUGGGCUCUCUGGUGAUUCAUGAUAACUUCUCGAAUCGCAUGGCCUUGCGCCGGCGAUGGUUCAUUCAAAUUUCUUCCCUAUCAACUUUCGAUGUUUGGGUAGUGGCCAAACAUGGUUGCAACGGGUAACGGAGGGUUAGGGCUCGACCCCGGAGAAGGAGCCUGAGAAACGGCUACUACAUCCAAGGAAGGCAGCAGGCGCGCAAAUUACCCAAUCCCGACACGGGGAGGUAGUGACAAUAAAUACUGAUACAGGGCUCUUUUGGGUCUUGUAAUUGGAAUGAGUACAAUUUAAAUCCCUUAACGAGGAACAAUUGGAGGGCAAGUCUGGUGCCAGCAGCCGCGGUAAUUCCAGCUCCAAUAGCGUAUAUUAAAGUUGUUGUGGUUAAAAAGCUCGUAGUUGAACCUUGGGCCUGGCUGGCCGGUCCGCCUCACCGCGUGCACUGGUCCGGCCGGGCCUUUCCCUCUGUGGAACCCCAUGCCCUUCACUGGGUGUGGCGGGGAAACAGGACUUUUACUUUGAAAAAAUUAGAGUGCUCCAGGCAGGCCUAUGCUCGAAUACAUUAGCAUGGAAUAAUGAAAUAGGACGUGCGGUUCUAUUUUGUUGGUUUCUAGGACCGCCGUAAUGAUUAAUAGGGACAGUCGGGGGCAUCAGUAUUCAAUUGUCAGAGGUGAAAUUCUUGGAUUUAUUGAAGACUAACUACUGCGAAAGCAUUUGCCAAGGAUGUUUUCAUUAAUCAGGAACGAAAGUUAGGGGAUCGAAGACGAUCAGAUACCGUCGUAGUCUUAACCAUAAACUAUGCCGACUAGGGAUCGGACGAUGUUAUUUUUUGACUCGUUCGGCACCUUACGAGAAAUCAAAGU
rnacentral:rRNA from 2 species